GGCACACGUGACCCUACUCUAUAAUUUUUGCCGUAAAUAGUCAGGUUUUUCCAUUCCCAACCUUCACCUGGCGCGAGAAUGCUUAUGGGAGUUAAAUACAUUUGAAUUUGUAUUACAAAUGUCGAGGCUUCUCGCAAGAAUUGCUGGGUUUUUCAGCAAUCGAGCGCAAGUUGGAGUCGACAAAGCGGGGAACAGAUACUUCACCAGAAAAGAAGAGAUCGAUGGUGUCAUUAAAGAGAAAAGAUGGGUGGUGUUUAAGGGAGAGGUGGAUUCUACUACUCUUCCAGUUGAAUGGAUAUGUUGGUUGAAUGGGCAGCGUAAACAGGCUCCAACCACAGAGGAAAUGAUGGAGUUGGAAGCUAGGCGUGAACGUCUUAGACAGAAUGUUGCUCUACUUAAAAAGGAAGAGGAGGAAAGGAAAGCCAAAGAAGGAAGUCCAGGGAAAGGCUUAACCACCGGAAAAGUUGGUGGUCCAGACUUAAAAAGUUUUAUUCGCCAAUUUCCUUCUGAAGGUGAUGGGGUUGAAGAAUCAUCUGCCACGAUUAGUGACUUGAGGUGAGACUUUGGAGGAUGCAUGUAUAUUCAUGCCAUUUGGUGUCUGUAUAACUAAGAAUUUUAUAAUGCGCAAAUUACAGAAUUUAGGGAACCGUGUUUAAUCCACAAAACUCCUGAAUUAGGUCAUCAGAACCAAGAGGAUCUGGUGCAACAUUUAAACCAGGAACCUGGCAGCCUCCAACUUGAAUUUUUUCUUUUAAAUAAACCUGGCAACACCAGCAUUCGUUUCUGCUCAGUUUUAAAGUGAAAAUGUAUGGUACUUUAAUCUAAAAAGUAACUUAUUACUUGGUUAAGAAAUCUUGCGUGGGGGAUUCUAGUGAGCGCACUAUAGCAUUGUUUUUUUUUUUUUUUUUUUGUUUUGCCAUUUUAUUUACAUUCAAAAUAUGUGCAGCACCAUUAUACUGCUUACAGAAACUUAUAUUUUAGCAUGGUGGGGUAAAAAUGUACGCCAUUGUCUUGCCAAUUCUAUGAAAUGAGUCUGGUGAAAAUUAUAUUAUUUUA